rnacentral:rRNA from 1 species
AGGGCACCACCAGGAGUGGAGCCUGCGGCUUAAUUUGACUCAACACGGGAAAACUUACCCGGCCCGGACACUGGCAGGAUUGACAGAUUGAGAGCUCUUUCUUGAUUCAGUGGGUGGUGGUGCAUGGCCGUUCUUAGUUGGUGGAGCGAUUUGUCUGGUUAAUUCCGAUAACGAACGAGACUCUAGCCUACUAAAUAGGCCACCGGCUUACUGACGUCGGUGGGACUUCUUAGAGGGACAGGCGGCGAUUCAGCCGCACGAAACAGAGCAAUAACAGGUCUGUGAUGCCCUUAGAUGUCCGGGGCCGCACGCGCGCUACACUGAAGUGAUCAGCGUGCAUUACAAACCUGCUCCGUCAGGAGUGGGGAACCCAAUGAACCUUCUUCGUGAUUGGGAUAGGGGAUUGUAAUUAUUCCCCUUGAACGAGGAAUUCCCAGUAAGCGCGAGUCAUAAGCUCGCGUUGAUUACGUCCCCGCCCUUUGUACACACCGCCCGUCGCUACUACCGAUUGAAUGAUUU